GUAGGGGGAACCAGGGAGUGGUAAAGGGAAAAGGCUAAAGAUCCACCCGCGGUUGCAUUUUCUUCUCUGUUAUCACUCUGCUACCUAGACUGUGAGAGGCUUUGCCUUCAGUCAGAUUACAGAGAGCAGGGUCUGACAUUGAGUGACAGCACCUGCUUUUGAUACGUAGGUUUUCUUACUGUUCUUUUUUCCUUCUGUUAUCCUUCAUCCUCUCCCUCAAUCCUUUCAACACAGUGGACUAAUCUAGCAUUCUGAUUAUAAGGCCCUCCAUUCUCCUAAUGUGUUUCAAGGAAUCUUUUAAGGAAAAAUGUCCAGAUUGUUCAUCUUUUUUAUUUAUUUUUAUUUUUUAUUUUUUUAAAGUACCUACUAACAACUCCUUUUUUUCUCUAGAGAGUUUUGAAGGAACAGGUUGUCCUUGUCUGGAGUCAAGCUAAACACAUGAUUUGUUUUAUCAGCAGCUGGAGCAGAAGUUGAAAAUGUCUUUCUGUGAGACAGUAAUUUGCUACUGAAGCUUUAUGGCUUGUUUGCACUGAUUACUCCAGGAUCAUAAAGUGUGGCGAAAGUCACAGAAACACUCAGGGCUAAUUGCUUCCCAGCCCUGAGUGUCCAUUCACAGUUUGUUAAUAAACACACAGAUCCCAUUUGUGUGACACAGGGAAUCUGUAGUUAAUGUUUUCUUGAACAUAAAUUUGUAAAUAUUCGGCUUAAACACAUGAUUUACUGUCAUUUUUCAUCCUGGCGUUACUGUGGACAAGUUGACAUUGUGUUAAAUCUCUGCUUUCUAGUAAGCUUUGCUUGUACAGUGCAUUUCCCUUGUCCUGUCUUAACUAUAUAGACCUGUCUGUAGUUUGUUUCACAGACUAAAAUUCAGUGUAUGGUAUUUUUAUUUGUAUCAAUGCCCUUAAUAAUGGAGAUAUUUUUGGAGUAAUUGUGCUAUCUUGUAGCGAGUUAUUAAUCAUAGCAAGAUUUUUUUCUCUUCAUUUGCUUUUUGUUUCAUAUUAACAUUUUUUUUUAACACGGACACAAUCCUCUACAGUCUUUCCAAAUACUAAAAUCAUUUGAGUAUGUCUGCUGUGAUCUGAACACUGCCCAAACCAUCAAGCAAUCUUCAUAUAGUUUGCAUUAUAAAACUUCAUUAAAUUCUCC
rnacentral:lncRNA from 1 species